rnacentral:lncRNA from 10 species
CGACGGACUCCCUUCCCUCUGUUCUUCUCAAGUAAUGCAAAUUAGAGCAUUUGCUUAAUUCUUUAAUCACAUCACGUUAUGCUGAAGAAGGGAGCAGCAUGAUUCUCUAAAGCAAAGCAAUGGAUGUGCCCAAUAGCACCAUCACUCCCAGACAGCAACCACUGGACAGCCAAAGGUUUAGAGUCUUUUCUUGCACAGGUCAAGAAUAUGUAAUAGAAGAGACGGGGGCGGGGAGAGAAGAGGAAUGCUGAAAGGGCAUUAUGCUUUUGCUAUUUAGUAAAAGAAGUAUCAACAUGCCUUCUGAUGACUCCUGAACAUCCCUUACAAAUGAAGGAGCCACAGAGUGGGGCAACUCCAUGCCUUUAUCACUCAGCCAGCCAAGGAAGAGGAAGACAAUCAAGCCACACUUGACAAGGGACAAGACCAUUCACUUUCAGGGCCAAGGGGAUUAGGACAGAGCAGCAUUUUCCCAUAGUGACAAGAGGAAACAAGAGAAUCGAAAGCAUCUUUCAAUUCCAUUCUGAGUCAAAGAGGUUGUUCUUGCAGCCCAACUGGGAACCUACAUGCAAACCAGUUCUAUGAGAAAAUAUGUCCCCAAAUUCCAGGAUAUCUGCUUCCCAUCCUCAGUUAGCAUACCUCCGUUUUAUAAUGUAAAAAAAAAAGGGAAAUCAGGAUUCACCUAAAUGAAUAUCAAUCAAAUGGAUAUUCCACAACUCAAGUGAUACCUGUGAACCCGAGGUGUUAGUAAACUUAAGGGUCACCAUCUACAGACUCCACAGGGAUGGGAGAUACUCUUGUGCUCCUAUGGUUGGGGCUGCCUCUAUAUCCUUUGCUUUAAAAUUCAGAAGGAGUGAAGAUCAGCUCAGGCAAUAAUGCUGGUUUGUCCCAGAGUCCAGAAUCUGCUAUGUUACCCAGAGUCUCUUAUGCUCAAAGAGGCUGUCAAAGAACGGGGUGUGGCUACCGUGGCCUCCCAGGGGCAAGUGGUCACACUCCAGCCUCACAAAGUGAGCACUGACUGUAGAGGUUCCACUAUGGUCAUGGUCUUAGCAAUAUGCAGGAAACACAGUCCAACCAUUCAUUGUCAUCUGGGUAAAAUACAAUUAAACAUCAAAGACUUG